rnacentral:rRNA from 1 species
GCAGCAGCCGCGGGAAUACGUAGGUGGCAAGCGUUGUCCGGAAUUACUGGGCGUAAAGGGCUCGCAGGCGGUUUCUUAAGUCUGAUGUGAAAGCCCCCGGCUCAACCGGGGAGGGUCAUUGGAAACUGGGAAACUUGAGUGCAGAAGAGGAGAGUGGAAUUCCACGUGUAGCGGUGAAAUGCGUAGAGAUGUGGAGGAACACCAGUGGCGAAGGCGACUCUCUGGUCUGUAACUGACGCUGAGGAGCGAAAGCGUGGGGAGCGAACAGGAUUAGAUACCCGCGUAGUCCCUGUCUCUAUACA